rnacentral:rRNA from 1 species
GACGAACGCUGGCGGCGCGCCUAACACAUGCAAGUCGAACGGAGUCAAGAGGAGCUUGCUUUUCUUGACUUAGUGGCGAACGGGUGAGUGACGCGUGAGUAACCUGCCCUGGAGUGGAGGACAACAGUUGGAAACGACUGCUAAUACCGCAUAAGCCCACGGCCUGGCAUCGGGCUGAGGGAAAAGGAUUUAUUCGCUUCAGGAUGGACUCGCGUCCAAUUAGCUAGUUGGUGAGGUAACGGCCCACCAAGGCGACGAUUGGUAGCCGGACUGAGAGGUUGAACGGCCACAUUGGGACUGAGACACGGCCCAGACUCCUACGGGAGGCAGCAGUGGGGGAUAUUGCACAAUGGGGGAAACCCUGAUGCAGCGACGCCGCGUGGAGGAAGAAGGUUUUCGGAUUGUAAACUCCUGUCGUUAGGGACGAUAAUGACGGUACCUAACAAGAAAGCACCGGCUAACUACGUGCCAGCCGCCGCAGUAA